rnacentral:rRNA from 1 species
AUACUCCUGACUGACCGAUAGUGAACCAGUACCGUGAGGGAAAGGCGAAAAGAACCCCGGCGAGGGGAGUGAAAAAGAACCUGAAACCGUGUACGUACAAGCAGUGGGAGCCUCUUUUAUGGGGUGACUGCGUACCUUUUGUAUAAUGGGUCAGCGACUUAUAUUCUGUAGCAAGGUUAACCGAAUAGGGGAGCCGAAGGGAAACCGAGUCUUAACUGGGCGUUAAGUUGCAGGGUAUAGACCCGAAACCCGGUGAUCUAGCCAUGGGCAGGUUGAAGGUUGGGUAACACUAACUGGAGGACCGAACCGACUAAUGUUGAAAAAUUAGCGGAUGACUUGUGGCUGGGGGUGAAAGGCCAAUCAAACCGGGAGAUAGCUGGUUCUCCCCGAAAGCUAUUUAGGUAGCGCCUCGUGAAUUCAUCUCCGGGGGUAGAGCACUGUUUCGGCAAGGGGGUCAUCCCGACUUACCAACCCGAUGCAAACUGCGAAUACCGGAGAAUGUUAUCACGGGAGACACACGGCGGGUGCUAACGUCCGUCGUGAAGAGGGAAACAACCCAGACCGCCAGCUAAGGUCCCAAAGUCAUGGUUAAGUGGGAAACGAUGUGGGAAGGCCCAGACAGCCAGGAUGUUGGCUUAGAAGCAGCCAUCAUUUAAAGAAAGCGUAAUAGCUCACUGGUCGAGUCGGCCUGCGCGGAAGAUGUAACGGGGCUAAACCAUGCACCGAAGCUGCGGCAGCGACGCUUAUGCGUUGUUGGGUAGGGGAGCGUUCUGUAAGCCUGUGAAGGUGUGCUGUGAGGCAUGCUGGAGGUAUCAGAAGUGCGAAUGCUGACAUAAGUAACGAUAAAGCGGGUGAAAAGCCCGCUCGCCGGAAGACCAAGGGUUCCUGUCCAACGUUAAUCGGGGCAGGGUGAGUCGACCCCUAAGGCGAGGCCGAAAGGCGUAGUCGAUGGGAAACAGGUUAAUAUUCCUGUACUUGGUGUUACUGCGAAGGGGGGACGGAGAAGGCUAUGUUGGCCGGGCGACGGUUGUCCCGGUUUAAGCGUGUAGGCUGGUUUUCCAGGCAAAUCCGGAAAAUCAAGGCUGAGGCGUGAUGACGAGGCACUACGGUGCUGAAGCAACAAAUGCCCUGCUUCCAGGAAAAGCCUCUAAGCAUCAGGUAACAUCAAAUCGUACCCCAAACCGACACAGGUGGUCAGGUAGAGAAUACCAAGGCGCUUGAGAGAACUCGGGUGAAGGAACUAGGCAAAAUGGUGCCGUAACUUCGGGAGAAGGCACGCUGAUAUGUAGGUGAAGCGACUUGCUCGUGGAGCUGAAAUCAGUCGAAGAUACCAGCUGGCUGCAACUGUUUAUUAAAAACACAGCACUGUGCAAACACGAAAGUGGACGUAUACGGUGUGACGCCUGCCCGGUGC